rnacentral:lncRNA from 1 species
GGGGCCGUGCAUGAUGACGGUGAAUUCAGAGGUGGUGGGUUCUGCCCCUGUGUAGAGCUGGUAGGGAGUGUCAUCCAGCCCGAGGAGGUAGUUUAUCAUGGAGGAUUUGCCAACGCUCCACGGUCCCAGGAAUAGCACCAUCGGCUUGGAAGUGAUCUCCCCAUCUGUGAUCUCAUGCUGCCUCAGCUCAUUGUAUCUGUAGGACUGCUCCAGGGGUUUGAUGGAGGCGUGGUAGAUCUUCCUCAGCCGCUGCAGUACUCCUGAGAAGUCAUCGGCAGGUUUGUCUUCGUUCAGCUUGAGGGUGUUCUCCAAGUGGGACCGGUCGCGCUUGGUGGGCUCGCUGGCAUCCUCAACCUCUUCUGCCGUGCCGAGGAGCAGGAGCGAGGCCACGCAGCAGCACAGCAGGUUGAGGCGCUUCAUGGUGGCUGCCAGGAGCUCUCCGCCGCU